rnacentral:rRNA from 1 species
GACGUAGGGGCCAGCGUUGUUCGGAAUUACUGGGUGUAAAGGGUUCGUAGGCGGUGCGGCAAGUUGGGAGUGAAAUCUCUGGGCUUAACCCAGAGGCUGCUUCCAAAACUGCUGUGCUUGAGUGUGGGAGAGGCGCGUGGAAUUGCAGGUGUAGGCGGUGAAAUGCGUAGAUAUCUGCAGGAACACCCGUGGCGAAGCGGCGCGCUGGACCACUACUGACGCUGAGGAACGAAAGCUAGGGGAGCAAACAGG